AUAAUAACUUGAGAAGUUAUUAUUAGAGAUAUCAACGGGUUGGAUUCGGGACGGAUAUUCAAAAUUCUAAACCUGAACCCGACUCAAAACUCGAAAUCCGAACCCGAACCCAUACUUGACGGAUUUAAAAAAUCCAUAUUCAAACCCGAAACUGACCAAAAAUUUGAAAUUUGAACCCAAACCUGAACCCAAAAAUCCGAACCCGAAACAAUUAUUUCUCUUUUCAAUAUUUCAAAAUAUAUUAUAUUAAAUCUAAAUUUUUAAAAUACAAAUUCAAACAUAGCAUCAAAUUUUUAUAUACAUGUAAUAUAUAAUGUAAAAUAAAUUCGGGUUCGGGUUCGGGUUCGGGUUCGGGUUCGGAUUCGGAUCAGGUAAAGUUACAAUUCAUAUCCGUAUCCGUAUCCAUAUCCGUCGGAUUUUUGUUUUUGAUAUCCAUAUCCAAAACCAUAUCUAAUAUAUUCGUUAUAUUCGGAUUCGAAUUCGAAUAAAAUUUCAAAUAUUCGUACCCAUUGACAUCCCUAGCUAUUAUGAUGUAACAACUAGGAAAUUGGGAGAAUUGAUGAAUAUGCUGAUCAUCGAUCGUCCCUAGCGCAAGUGGCAAAAGAGCUUUGUGGUUGGUACCCGAGACCCAAAUUCGAAUUCUAGUUGAUUCACAUUUCUAGCUAAGGGGGCGUUUGGUUCCCCGUAAAAAUGGUCAGAAGAAUUUUUUUCAGUUGAAAAUUAUUUUUCUAGCGUUUGGUUUGACAGGAAAAUUU
rnacentral:lncRNA from 1 species